UCUCCGUUGGUGAACCAGCGGAGGGAUCAUUACAGAGUCGUAAAAAACUCCCAAACCCAUGUGAACUUACCAUUGUUGCCUCGGCGGACCUACCCUGUAGCUAGCUACCCUGUAGCCCGCCGGUGGACCAUUAAACUCUUGUUAUUCUAUGGAUAUCUGAGCGUCUUAUUUAAUAAGUUAAAACUUUCAACAACGGAUCUCUUGGUUCUGGCAUCGAUGAAGAACGCAGC
rnacentral:misc_RNA from 1 species